AGUGAACGCUGGCGGUAGGCCUAACACAUGCAAGUCGAACGGCAGCACAGUAAGAGCUUGCUCUUACGGGUGGCGAGUGGCGGACGGGUGAGGAAUACAUCGGAAUCUACUUUUUCGUGGGGGAUAACGUAGGGAAACUUACGCUAAUACCGCAUACGACCUACGGGUGAAAGCAGGGGAUCUUCGGACCUUGCGCGAUUGAAUGAGCCGAUGUCGGAUUAGCUAGUUGGCGGGGUAAAGGCCCACCAAGGCGACGAUCCGUAGCUGGUCUGAGAGGAUGAGAGGUAACUAGGGAGAGAGACAAGGGACCAGACUCGAACGGGGGGGGCCAGAGGGGAAGGUUGGACAAAGAGGGAAAGCUGGAUGAAGACGUCUGGGGUGGGGAAAGAGGAUCUUGGGUUUGUAAAGCCGGUUUAUUUGGGAGGAAGAGCGGUAAAGUAAUACCUUCCUGCAUUGACGGUACCAAAAGAAUAAGAAACGGCGAACUUCGUG
rnacentral:rRNA from 1 species